AUGAUCUUGGCUUCCGUUAUUGAUGUCCCUCUGUCUGGGUACCACCUUGUUGUUAGCGAUAACCAUGUUGCAAGCGAUAACCAUGUUGUUAGCGACAAUCAUGUUGUUAGUGAUAACCAUGUUGUCAGUGACAACCUUGCUGUUAGCGACAACCUUGUUGUUAGCGACAACCAUGUUGUUAGCGACAACCUUGUUGUUAGCGACAACCAUGUUGUUAGCGAUAACCAUGUCGUUAGCGAUAACCAUGUUGUUAGCGAUAACCAUGCCGUUAGCUAUAACCAUGUUGUUAGUAAUAACCAGGCUGUUAGCGAUAACCAGGUUGUUAGCGAUAACCUUGUUGUUAGCGAUAACCAUGUCGUUAGCAAUAACCUUGCUGUUAGCGAUAACCAUGUCGUUAGCGAUAACCUUGUUGUUAGUGAUAACCGUGUUGUUAGCUAUAACCUUGUUGCUAUCGAUAACCUUGUUGUUAGCGAUAACCUUGCUAGCGAUAACCUUGCCGUUAGCGAUAACCUUGUUGUUAGCGAUAACUGCGCUAGCGAUAACCGCGCUAGCGACAACCUUGCCGUUAGAGAUAACCUUGCAGUUAGAGAUAACCUUGUUGUUAGCGAUAACCUUGUCGCUAGCGAUAACCAUGUCGUUAGCGAUAACCUUGUUGCCAGCGAUAACCAUGGAGUUAGCGAUAACCUUGUAGCUAGCGAUAACCAUGUUGUUAGCGAUAACCAUGUUGUUAGCGAUAACCAUGUUGUUAGUGAUAACCAUGUUGUUAGUGAUAACCAUGGUGUUAGUGAUAACCAUGUUGUUAGUGAUAACCAUGUUAGUGAUAAGCAUGUUGUUAGUUAUAAGCAUGUUGUUAGUGAUAACCAUGUUGUUAGUGAUAACCAUGUUGUACCAUGGUAUUUUGGUGAGAGGGCUGAUCUCUGCCAUAAAGCCAGAGGUGAGGGUGGGGAUUAG
rnacentral:lncRNA from 13 species